UGGCGGACGGGUGAGUAACGCGUGGAAAACCUGCCGUAUACUAGGGGAUAACACUUAGAAAUAGGUGCUAAUACCGCAUAAGCGCACAGCUUCGCAUGAAGCGGUGUGAAAAACUCUGGUGGUAUACGAUGGUUCCGCGUCUGAUUAGCUAGUUGGUGGGGUAAUGGCCUACCAAGGCAACGAUCAGUAGCCGGCCUGAGAGGGUGAACGGCCACAUUGGGACUGAGACACGGCCCAAACUCCUACGGAAGGCAGCAG
rnacentral:rRNA from 1 species